CGACACGCGGUGAGAGUGUAUAAAUUGAGAAAAACUUGAAAGGUUGGUGUUGGGUGUGUAUACAAAUGGUCAUGUGUUAAAUGGAAGUUGAAGAAGGCUCCUCUGAUGCUACUAAAUUGCCAGCAGAUUCAAUGUGUAUUCUGCCACCAGAAAUCAUCACUGAAAUCCUCUGGAGGCUUCCGUUUAUCAGCUAAUAAGGAAGAGAUGCUCCAUUUGAUUAUUUUGAAUGAUCUUAAGUUUGGAGAUAAGUGGGGUUACAAAGGAUGUCCUGUUAUGUCUUUAUUUCAUAACUCCGUUACUGAGGCUGUUGACUUGGGUUAUCCCAUUGAAGACGACAGAUAUGAUCUCCGUAUUGAGGGAUGUUGCAAUGGUGAAUACUUCCAAUGGCAUUUCUGCUUUUCGAUUUACAUCUACCACUUUGGAUAUUAAUCAUCCCAUGUAUCUCCUCACUGCUGAUAUCUCAGGUCUUCAUUUAUUUGGGAUGCCCGUCACAGCCAGGGCUCUAAUUCAGAUUGUGACAAAUUAUAUUUUGUUGCAACUCCAUAUCUGGUCCAUUUAACUGUUGGGUGAGCUAGUGCCCAGAACAUUUGACAUUUUGUAUAAUUAAGGAUAUAAUGAGUCUGUUCCUAUUCAAUACUAUUCCCUCCGUUUCGUUUUA